CCGAAAAUAGCUCAGUUGGUAGAGCGGGAGACUGUAGUGGUUGCCCAUUGGGCAGCAAGUUGUCAUCUCUAGGUCCCUGGUUCAAAUCCGGGUUUUCGGA